GCGCUUUGUGUCCAGCUAGGGGACACACCGAGCCGACGAGACGGGAUCUCUGAGGAGACCCCGUUCCGCCAGAAGGAAGCACCAUAGCAACCUUCCCGGCCACGAAAGGACAUGUGUGAACAAGGAACCCAUAAAAUGAAGGGUGCAACAGGUUCGAACAUCCCAGUAUUGCAGAAAGAAUAGUUGCACAUCAAGGUAGGAGAAAGAUAAUCAAGUUUCUGGAUUUACAAGGGAAGGACAUAUUCUGUGCUGGUGUAAAUUAGGAGUUCCACUGAAAUAGAUGACUGGUUGGUACUGCAGAAACUGAGUGUUAUUUUCAUGCUGCUAUGAUCCAAAACAGUGGCUCCUUCUUCUGCAUAGUGAGCAUUGAGGAAAGCCUGGGCAAUGACGCUCAGAGAGCAGAAGCAGUGCUGUAGGAGAGAGCAUCAAGAGAAGCUUUUACCAGCUGGUAAAACCUGCCAAACAAGCUUGUAAAAUUGAGGAUCAGAGUAUUGGUUUUGCUCAGGAAAGACAUUGUGACUUCAUUGCCUCUAUGGCACUAUUGUCAGGAACAAUUUUAUUUUUUUGAAAUUACUGCAUUUGAGGUCUAAGUUUUCUCAUCAAGAAUAAACUUGGUAUUUGGUCAUUUCACUCUGUGGUUGUUAUCUGUCAAAACAAAUCCUAUAAGGAGCCUAAGUCAAAAACUACUCAUGUCAGGAGAAUGGGUUUUGGUGAUGACUUUCCAAGCUGACUGGGUUUUGGAGUUAUAAAUAGUUACAAAAUUGUGUCACUGCCUUCUCAGAAACUCAAUGUGUUUAAAGAUGUGUACGGUCAGCAGAAUAGGGAUUGGGUUUACAUCUAAGACCUUCACCUUUUAAGGACUUGGGUUUAAAAUGGAUGGGAUCACUUACUUGUUUAAAGGCAGUUUCAUUUUUAUAUAAUAAUUUAUGCUUAUCACCACGUAAGUGAAUUCUUAAUCAUUCUUGUGGAUCCAACAUAUUAUUUUUCAUAGCAAUAUAUUAUGGAGGCCUUUCAGCAAAACUUGCCUUGAUUUGUGGCAUGUAAGACUGAUACAAUGAGUGAUAAAUGUAUUAACUGAUAAUCCCCAGUUAAAAUACUAUAUGAAAUAAAUAGAAAUGAAAGUA